UACGUAGGGGGCUAGCGUUGUCCGGAAUCAUUGGGCGUAAAGCGCGUGUAGGCGGUUCGGUAAGUCCGCUGUGAAAGUCGGGGGCUCAACCCUCGAAAGCCGGAGGAUACUGUCGGGCUAGAGUGCGGAAGAGGCGAGUGGAAUUCCUGGUGUAGCGGUGAAAUGCGCAGAUAUCAGGAGGAACACCAAUUGCGAAGGCAGCUCGCUGGGACGUUACUGACGCUGAGACGCGAAAGCGUGGGGAGCAAACAGG
rnacentral:rRNA from 1 species